rnacentral:rRNA from 1 species
GACGAACGCUGGCGGCGUGCUUAACACAUGCAAGUCGAACGGAAAGGCCUGCUUUCCCUUGUGGAUUGCGGGUACUCGAGUGGCGAACGGGUGAGUAACACGUGAGUGAUCUGCCCCCAACUUGGGUAUAAGCCUGGGAAACUGGGUCUAAUUCCCGAUAGGACUGCAGGGUGGUGCCUGUGGUGGAAAACGAUUUUCUAGUGGUUGGGGAUGAGCUCGCGGCCUUUCAGCUUGUUGGUGGGGUAAUGCCCUACCAAGGCGGCGACGGGUAGCCGGCCUGAGAGGGUGGACGGCCACAUUGGGACUGAGAUACGGCCCAGACUCCUACGGGAGGCAGCAGUGGGGAAUAAUGCACAAUGGGCGGAAGCCUGAUGCAGCGACGCCGCGUGGGGGAUGACGGCCUUCGGGUUGUAAACUCCUUUCGACCGCGAGGAAGCCACCUGGUUGGAAGGGUGGUGACGGUAGUGGUAGAAGAAGCACCGGCUAACUACGUG